rfam:Glossina fuscipes fuscipes unplaced genomic scaffold Scaffold3, whole genome shotgun sequence.
GCAAAUUGAGGUAGUAGGUUGUAUAGUAGUAAAUUUGAAAAUAUUAAACGUACUAUACAACGUGCUAGCUUUCUUUGC